GUUUGAUGAUAGUAAGUCAAUCGCGAAGCUAGGGCUUGAACCUCUCCCAAGCUUGACAAAAUUUUUCACCAUCCUUUUGCUUGAAACAUACAAUCCCACUUCUCAAUUU
rfam:Capsicum annuum cultivar Zunla-1 chromosome 4, whole genome shotgun sequence